UCUGUUCUUGAUCUGCCAGUGAG
rnacentral:misc_RNA from 1 species